GAUGAACGCUAGCGAUAGGCUUAACACAUGCAAGUCGAGGGGCAGCACAAGGUAGCUUGCUAUCUGGGUGGCGACCGGCGCACGGGUGCGUAACGCGUAUGCAACUUGCCCUAUACAGGAGGAUAACCCGUCGAAAGACGGACUAAUACUGCGUAUGCUCACAACUUGGCAUCAAGUGGUGAGGAAAGAAAUUCGGUAUAGGAUAGGCAUGCGUCCCAUUAGCUUGUUGGUGAGGUAACGGCUCACCAAGGCAACGAUGGGUAGGGGAACUGAGAGGUUUAUCCCCCACACUGGUACUGAGACACGGACCAGACUCCUACGGGAGGCAGCAGUGAGGAAUAUUGGUCAAUGGGCGCGAGCCUGAACCAGCCAAGUCGCGUGAAGGAUGACCGUCUUAUGGAUUGUAAACUUCUUUUAUACGGGAAUAACAAGAGUCACGUGUGACUCCCUGCAUGUACCGUAUGAAUAAGCAUCGGCUAACUCCGUG
rnacentral:rRNA from 1 species